GUACUGUAUGAUAAGGAUCGGCUAACUCCGUGCCAGCAGCCGCGGUAAUACGGAGGAUCCGAGCGUUAUCCGGAAUUAUUGGGUUUAAAGGGUCCGUAGGCGGGAUAAUAAGUCAGUGGUGAAAGUUUGUGGCUCAACCAUAAAAUUGCCAUUGAUACUGUUAUUCUUGAGUUAUUGUGAAGUGGUUAGAAUGUGUAGUGUAGCGGUGAAAUGCAUAGAUAUUACACAGAAUACCAAUUGCGAAGGCAGAUCACUAACAAUGAACUGACGCUGAUGGACGAAAGCGUAGGUAGCGAACAGGAUUAGAUACCCUGGUAGUCUACGCAGUAAACGAUGGUUACUAGCUGUUCGGUCUAAUUGAGGGCUGAGUGGUUAAGCGAAAGUGAUAAGUAACCCACCUGGGGAGUACGUUCGCAAGAAUGAAACUCAAAGGAAUUGACGGGGGCCCGCACAAGCGGUGGAGCAUGUGGUUUAAUUCGAUGAUACGCGAGGAACCUUACCAGGGCUUAAAUGCAGUUUGACAGGUCUAGAAAUAGAUUUUUCUUCGGACAAAUUGCAAGGUGCUGCAUGGUUGUCGUCAGCUCGUGCCGUGAGGUGUCAGGUUAAGUCCUAUAACGAGCGCAACCCCUAUGGUUAGUUGCUAGCAGGUCAUGCUGAGAACUCUAGCCAGACUGCCGGUGUAAACCGCGAGGAAGGUGGGGAUGACGUCAAAUCAUCACGGCCCUUACGUCCUGGGCUACACACGUGCUACAAUGGUAUGUACAAUGAGCAGCCACUACGCGAGUAGGCGCAAAUCUCAAAAGCAUAUCACAGUUCGGAUCGGAGUCUGCAACUCGACUCCG
rnacentral:rRNA from 1 species